rnacentral:rRNA from 1 species
CCCUUAGAUGUUCUGGGCCGCACGCGCGCUACACUGAUGCAUUCAACGAGUCUAAAACCUGGUCUGAGAGGGCUGGGUAAUCUUUUGAAAGUGCAUCGUGAUUGGGAUAGAUGAUUGCAAUUCCUCAUCUUCAACGAGGAAUGCCUAGUAAACGCAAGUCAUCAGCUUGCAUUGAUUACGUCCCUGCCCUUUGUACACACCGCCCGUCGCUCCUACCGAUUGAACGAUCCGAUGAAAACUGUGGAUUGAGAGUCUGAGUGGGUUCGCCUACCUCAACUUUCGAGAAGCGGUUUAAAUCUUAUCGUUUAGAGGAAGGAGAAGUCGUAACA